rnacentral:lncRNA from 1 species
CUGCGCGGUGGCUGGCCGCCAGGCUGUGUCCAAGAAGCCCCCUUGGGGACGCCCCCUCUCCCUUUCUGGUUCUUACCACCAUGGCCCACCCCCAGCCAUCCUCUCAUUAAGCCACCCUCCCCCUCCCACUGCCAAUUAUCUCUCAUCAGGCAAUUAGCGUUUCCUCCUCCUCUGAAUUUCUCCUUCCCUGGUCCCUGGUGGUGCAGGGGCUGAGUCACUUUCCUAAAAGGAGCUUUGUCAGAGGAGCCCUGGCGCCACCCCCGACUAGCUGUGUGAUCUCAGGCCGACCACCUCCCCGAGCCUCAGGUUCCCGUCGGUGUGGGGAGGGCGGUGCUAACCCAGAGAGUCAUGGGUACCAGGAGCUCUCUGCCGGCUCGGGGACUCCACUGCUUCCGUGUGAAACAGGGGGAGAGGUUAAGUCAGAAGCCUCACACUCCUGAUGCCCGAGGGGCAGACUUCGCCAUUUCCCCACCCCAGAACCUCACCUGGCCUUCAAGGGCCUUCCCAGUCCAGGGCAGGGGCCUGGGCGCCAGCAGGGGGCAGCACCCGUCUUAGUCACCUGGAAAAACAUCGGGGGACAGUUAGCAGGUGUCAGCAAGUGUUUGUUGUAGGAAAAAAAAAAAAACUGGGAUGCUUGGGGCCCAAGGUCAAAACUCAUUUGAAACCCAAGAGGCAGGAAGGUGGAGCCCGGGAAGCCCCAGCUUAGAAUAAAGAUGGUCCUCCUUCACAAAGUUCCACCAUCCUGGUGGCCUGCGUCGGCCUUCCGUGGUCCCCAGGGUGCAGAGGAGGCUGCAGCCUCAGCAGGGGAGCUGGCAGGACCCCCUCCCUGGAGACGCUUCCCUCCACCUGCUGGCCCUGGGCUCUCUGCCUCCCUCUUGUCACUCAAUAGGAGUAGGAAUCCAAGCUGUUCCUCUCCCCGUCUUUGUUUGCCUGUGUUUCUCUUUCUCUUCCUGCAAUAAUGUCUGUCUGUCUUUAUCCCUCGGGGGGCUCCUCCUGGCUCUGUGCACCUCUCCCCACCUCUGCCUCUGCCCGAGCUGGUCUGUUCUGCCUCUCUCCCCAUAAUUAGCCUGGGUUGUAGCUCUCACACCCUGCUCUCCAGGCAGGGGCCGCGGGAGGCGGGGCAGGACAGGAGGGAGCCUCUUUGUAGCCUGCAGAAAUUGGGCCAAUUAAAGAAGGCGCUCAAGAAACCCCACAAGAAGAAAGCAAAAAGAGCCCCCGGUGAGGAGUCCAACUGGAAACAGAGGAACAGACUGAACGGGCUAAACAAGCAGUGACUGCGGGUCCAAGGUCACGGCCUGGCCUGGAGGGGGUGGUUUCCCUCCUCCCAGACCUCUGGGGGGGUGGCUGCCUGCUUCUUUGAGUGGAGUGUCCCCGCCUCAGCUUCUGUCCCUGCCUGCUUCUCUCCUCUUCCCUGGAGGUAGCCCGGGGGCUGCCGGGCCUCAGGGGAGUCCUGGGCUUCCUCCUGCCUCUCGUCCCUCCUCACAUUCUUGGGCUGAGGUGGCAGCUGCCAAAUGUGUCUGUGUCUCCUGCAGGCCUGAUGGGAGCUGAGAGCCAGGAAAGGCGGGGACAGGCAUCCCUCCCCAAAUCUAAGGCCAGGUUUCUUCCGCCCUCCAUCCCCAGCCCAGGGCCUGCCCCUUACAGGCUCUCCUGAGCGGGGGACAGAGGGGCAGUAAGCUGGUGAGCCUGGCACCAUCUCUUCUCCAAGGAGCUCAGAGUCCGGGGGGAAGCCAGCCGGACAGCUGUAGCCACCAGCAGGGUCUCCCAGGAGGGCCUCUUAACUCAGAUGGGGACCCACCAGGAAAGGGCUCCUGGGAGCCAUCUCCCCAACAUGCCGUCUACAAAGGGAGUCUGCUCAGAGUGGGCGGGGGCUGCGGCUGCCUGGAGCAGGGGGGCACAGAGGGACCAUUCAAGAAAAUGAGAGAAAAUGAAAAUAAGUCCUUAGAGAAGAGGUGGGGGGUGAGAAAACAGGGGGAGCUGCUCAUAAUCCAGAACAAGGAGCUCGGGAUUCAUGUCCAGGACCCUGGGAGCCCCUCCUCUGUUCAAACCCCCAAAUGGCUCCCUAGGCAUAGGAAUGGCUCCCAGACUCGGCGCUGACGGCAGCUCCCAUCCUUUUGUCCCUAAUCCUCUGCCUCUUUAGCCUGGGACGCAUUAGGUGCUAAAACUCUUUGCUGGAUGAGCGAGUUCCUCAAGGCACAGUCCUUGGCUGGUGUCCCCGGGAGGCUGGGCGGAGGCCUGGCUUCCUUGUCCUCUCUCCAGCUGCUCUGCUCUUGCUGCCCCGUCCUCCAGCUGGCCGGAUUCCCUCCCCCAGCCUGGAUUCCUAUGACUUGUGUGCCUUUGGUGGCUUUCCUUCUAGAAUGGUCUCCCUGUUACAGCACUAGGAUCUUCUGAGAAACUGAGGCAGGGCAAGACCCCCCCUCCUCGAACCCUGAUUCUUGCAAUCAAGUCAGAAAUAUUUCAGACACUCCGCUCAGAGUAACAGGCAGGAGUGUAUUGAAGGGACAGGAGAAGGGAAAGGGGACACUCUUAAGGGACAGAGUGGGUCCUCUCAGAGAGGGGGGAGACGAGGUGCCUCUCCGGCACUCAGUGUAUUGUGGAUCCCAGAGAAGUUUCCAGAGGGUUCACCCAGGUCCACCUCUUCAUUUGACUGACAGCAAGAUGACAUCAGACUUUCAAAUCCUUACUGCCGGGACAACUCUAUGUCACCUUGUCCCAUGCUGAAGAGUUCUAGUUGGAUUCUUAAUCAUAAAUUCUUACAGAUUCUUAUUUCCCUGAGUUUUGAGAUCUGGUCUGUGAAAAGGGUCAUGAAAGUCUCCCCCUCAAGGUGAAAGGGUAAAGUUUCUAAGCUGCUUCUAAACUGCAAAGCCUGAGUUAAAAUGUAAAAGACCGGGCAUUGUAAAGUUCCUAAGCUGCAAGGCCUGAGCUAAAAAGUGAAGGACUAGGUAUUGUUAAGUUCCUCUGCUACACCCAGAACCUGAAAUUCCUGAGGCAGUUAAGACAACACCCUACUGGCCAUUUAGUUGAUUAAUAGCCUAGGGCCCUGUGCAGCUUGUCACGUAGGCAUACAGGGCCCGAACCAAUCAGUUUGAAUGUGUACCCCGCUUAGGAGUGACCAAUCACCCCCGCCCGACCUGUUCCCGCCAAUAAAUGUACUAAUCAAGUUUAAGAAUUGUUGUUUGAUUUUCCCGCACCUCAUGAUGAUUUGUCCU